rnacentral:rRNA from 1 species
CAUGUAGGCGGAUUGAUAAGUUUGAAGUAAAAUCCUAUAGCUUAACUAUAGAACUGCUUUGAAAACUGUUAAUCUAGAAUGUGGGAGAGGUAGAUGGAAUUUCUGGUGUAGGGGUAAAAUCCGUAGAGAUCAGAAGGAAUACCGAUUGCGAAGGCGAUCUACUGGAACAUUAUUGACGCUGAGAUGCGAAAGCGUGGGGAGCAAACA